AUGCAUGUCCUGCAGUCUUUUGAAUUGUUUUGGAUCAAAAUGUCAAACAUGACCGUGAUCCCGGUGGCGGAGGCCUCCAACAUCACCUCAGAGUGCGGCUGGUUCAGCCAGGACAACCAGACGGAGGCGCGCGUAAUGGCGCGGAUGGACUCUGCUGAUGCUGAACACAUUUUCUACUCAUUGAUGCCGUUUGGAGCCGCGGCUCCGGUUCUGAUCGUUGUUUUUAUUGCUCUGAGUAUCUGUUCUUUAGUGCUGAACCUGCUGAUUCUGUUUAACAUCGAGGAGUCUGAGGACCUCUCCUGGCAGCCGCGCUUUGUCCUCUGUAAGAACCUGAUUGUGAGUGAUGUCCUGCAGACACUCACCUUUGCGUCGGCGGUCAUCUACUCACUGGUCCGGCACCAAGCCAUGGCGUUUGGCUCCUGGUGUUACAUUCAGAACUUUGUGGGCACGGUCACUGUUUUCUGUAGCCUCACCAGCAUCACCUCCAUGGCUCUGGAGCGCUACUUAUACGUGUGUUUUGCGCUCAAGUACACCGUGAUUGUUACAGAGGAGAGGGUUCGGACAGCUGUGCUGGCAGUCUGGGUUUAUUCAGUGUCCAUGGGUCUCGUCAGCACGAGCAUGCUGCUGUACAAAGGAAGGGAAGUGGAGACUGAGCCAUACACCAUGGGACUGAUGUGUGAGCCGGACACGAUGGAGCAGCACCUGGGCUUCCCUCGCGCUCAUUCCCUCUUUCGCAAAGCGUUUGGCAGCAUCACUCUGCUGAUGUGCUUGCUGGCCCACACCUUCUCCUACUUCAGGAUGUACCAGAACGCGAGCAACGCAGUGGUGCCUUUCAACGAGGUGAACAACGCAGCGCGCAAGACGGUGAUGUUUUACUGCGGGAUGCUGUUCCUGCAGCUGCUGCCGCUGCUCUUUAAGGUCGCCUCGGACGCGCUGUGGGAGUUCAAGGGAACCGAUGGGAGGAAGCACUCCUCGUGGUUUAACUCGGGCUGCACCCCGUCGGGUAUCGCGGCGGUGUUUCACGUGUCCCUGCUCGUCAUGCUUUUGGUGCCACCGUGCGUAAACCCGCUGGUGUAUGGACUGAGGAACGCGGAGAUUCGCAAAGCGAUGGCCAAACUGUGGCGGAGGCGCGCAGAGAACAGAAUCAUGCACGAGCCUCCAAGAGACGCGAUGCGGCUCAGGAACGUUGCGCAGCAUCAGUACCUGGCUGAGGCGGCUUAG
rnacentral:lncRNA from 1 species